UUGACGUUACCCGCAAAAGAAGCACCGGCUAACUCCGUGCCAGCAGCCGCGGUAAUACGGAGGGUGCGAGCGUUNAUCGGAAUAACUGGGCGUAAAGGGCAUGUAGGCGGUAAGUUAAGUCAGAUGUGAAAUCCCCGAGCUUAACUUGGGAACGGCAUUUGAGACUGGCGGGCUAGAGUUUUGUAGAGGGGGGUAGAAUUCCAGGUGUAGCGGUGAAAUGCGUAGAGAUCUGGAGGAAUACCGGUGGCGAAGGCGGCCCCCUGGACAAGGACUGACGCUGAGGUGCGAAAGCGUGGGUAGCAAACAGGAUUAGAUACCCUGGUAGUCCACGCUGUAAACGAUGUCGAUUUGGAGGUUGUGGCCUAGUGUUAUGGCGUCCGAAGCUAACGCGAUAAAUCGACCGCCUGGGGAGUACGGCCGCAAGGUUAAAACUCAAAUGAAUUGACGGGGGCCCGCACAAGCGGUGGAGCAUGUGGUUUAAUUCGAUGCAACGCGAAGAACCUUACCUACUCUUGACAUCCACGGAAUUGAGCAGAGAUGCUUAAGUGCCUUCGGGAGCCGUGAGACAGGUGCUGCAUGGCUGUCGUCAGCUCGUGUUGUGAAAUGUUGGGUUAAGUCCCGCAACGAGCGCAACCCUUGUCCUUUGUUGCCAGCGCGUGAUGGCGGGAACUCAAAGGAGACUGCCGGUGAUAAACCGGAGGAAGGUGGGGAUGACGUCAAGUCAUCAUGGCCCUUACGAGUAGGGCUAC
rnacentral:rRNA from 1 species